rnacentral:rRNA from 1 species
AACGAACGUUAGCGGCGCGCCUAACACAUGCAAGUCGCACGGAGGGGAGCUUGCUCCCUUCAGUGGCGCACGGGUGAGUAACACGUAGGUAAUCUACCUUUGAGUGGUGGAUAACGGUCCGAAAGGAUCGCUAAUACAGCAUGAGACCACGACAUCGCAGAUGUUGAGGUCAAAGGGGGCCUCUCCUUGGAAGCUCCUGCUCAGAGAUGAGCCUGCGGCCCAUCAGUUAGUUGGCGGGGUAAUGGCCCACCAAGGCAAAGACGGGUAGCUGGUCUGAGAGGAUGAACAGCCACACUGGAACUGAGACACGGUCCAGACUCCUACGGGAGGCAGCAGUGGGGAAUUUUGCGCAAUGGGCGAAAGCCUGACGCAGCGACGCCGCGUGAGUGAUGAAGGCCUUCGGGUUGUAAAGCUCUGUGGAGAGGGAAGAAUAAGGCUAGGCUAAUAUCCUAGUUGAUGACGGUACCUCUUUAGCAAGCACCGGCUAACUCUGUGCCAGCCGCCGCAGUAACAC